rnacentral:lncRNA from 1 species
UAGGGAUCGUGUUUAGUUGCGGUUGAGUGAUUUUAAUUUUAAGUUGAAGACGAAUAAAAGCUUGAUUAAUUAAGAAAUUAUUAAAUGAAAGAGCAAGUAAAUAAAGAACUAAAUAAAGUUUAGUUUCAAGUAUGAAGAUGGAUUCUCAUGAUCUCAAUUACUUUUUUGAUAGACAGCUGGUACCCUUCUUAAUAUGUCUUGGAUUGGUAUCUAAUCAAUAAAGAUAUAGCCUAUCUUAGA